rnacentral:lncRNA from 1 species
AGGUUUCUGGUAUCAGAAAAUUUAAGUUUGUUAACCCUGGAUACACCUUGUUGAGGGAACAACAAUUUUCCAGAAGUGAAUAUUAGGAGUUUUUUAGCCUAACACAGGACCCACAUUUUGUUCUAUUUUUUACAGCCUGCUUGUUGCCCUAGGGCACCUAAAUUUCUCAUUGCAGUUAUACAUGUCUCUUUAGAGCAGAGCUUCUCAAAUGGUGCAAAAGAAUCAUCUGGCAAUGUGAUGAGUAUUGGGUCAGGUCUGUGAAAAGAUAUAUUUUUUAAAAUCCCAGGGGACUCUACUGCAAGUUGUCCGUGAAAGACACUCUUUUAGGGCAUUUCUUCAACUCUUAAAUUUUGAACUCCUUCAACUACAUUUCUUGGUCUUAAGUGCCUCACUGUCUGCUAGAUGAGACAGAAGUCAAAAGAAGUAGUCAUAAUAAAUAUGUCUGAUCAUUUCUCCCACACAAGUUGAGGCCUGAAGUUCCCAUCAUUGUGAAGGUCUCUAGUCUGAGUCAAGAGUGAGAUAUUGAGCUUUUGGAUGUUGGUCAAGGCAUUGUCUUGCUAAACAGGAUAGCUAUUCAACGAUUCAUCACUAGAAUUAGACAGAAAGAGAGGUGCAAAGCCAAAGGGGACAAAGAUGGUGAAACCAGAGGACAGUGGGAAGUUUUAGAAGAGGAUCAUGAGGAGCAGGGCCUGAAGCAGCUCUUUUGAGGAUCUUGAUUAAGAAUAAGAAGCAUCCAAAAGCAGCAAGCAUGUGUCAGCCCCUGGAGGCCAUGAAGAAGACCACUCUAUGAGUUUCAAGACCCUCAGAACUACUACUCUUUUCUGAAAACCCUGUACCCACCUGAAACUGUUACGACAUGUGUGAUUGCAUCACAUUAUUUCUGGGGAAGAAAGACCAUAAAAUGCUCUCUGAAUCCAUAAGGACAACUCCGUUGGCACAGAUGGGAAUUUUGCUCUGAAGUGACAGCACUGCUUUCCUGGAACAUGAACUAGUAACUGCAAAGAGUUUCUUUGGAAACACCAUAUUUUAUCAUUGACCCAUCUUUACCAUAGUGCACACUCCUAAACCAUUCUAUAGAGAUGUUCCCCGGAAGUUAAAGAUGGCUCAGAAGAAAAACUGUCAUCU